rnacentral:rRNA from 1 species
CGAGACCUCAGGUCAGGCGGGGCUACCCGCUGAAUUUUAAGCAUAUCAAUAAGCGGAGGAAAAGAAACUAACAAGGGAUUCCCUUAGUAACGG